GUUUGAUCCUGGCUCAGAUUGAACGCUGGCGGCAUGCUUUACACAUGCAAGUCGAACGGCAGCACGGGGGCAACCCUGGUGGCGAGUGGCGAACGGGUGAGUAAUAUAUCGGAACGUACCCGGAAAUGGGGGAUAACGUAGCGAAAGUUACGCUAAUACCGCAUAUGCCCUAAGGGGGAAAGCGGGGGAUUCGCAAGAACCUCGCGUUUUCGGAGCGGCCGAUAUCGGAUUAGCUAGUAGGUGAGGUAAAGGCUCACCUAGGCGACGAUCCGUAGCUGGUCUGAGAGGACGACCAGCCACACUGGAACUGAGACACGGUCCAGACUCCUACGGGAGGCAGCAGUGGGGAAUUUUGGACAAUGGGCGCAAGCCUGAUCCAGCCAUGCCGCGUGAGUGAAGAAGGCCUCGGUU
rnacentral:rRNA from 1 species